UCGGGUAUGGUGUAACGGCUAACAUUGCCGCCUCUCAUGUUGUGUACACGUAUGGCGAUGUCUUAACGAGAGUUCCGCGGCAGCUCGGGGUUCGAUUCCCCGUACCCGAA